CAGUGUGCUGCAGCCUGCCACACCCUGUGAUGAUUACCCGCUGCUGUGACUGCCCAGGCACUGGGUGUCUGAGCCAAAUGGAGGGGAGGUGCCUCACGUUCGCCCCAGUGAGAGCCCCAUGCAUGCCGGUGGUCUGCGACCCAGCCCUGUGCGCCCCACCUUGCCGCAGGGGGGUCCCCUUCCUCGUGUGCCCGGGGUGCUGCCAUUCCCCCCGUGCGUACUCCUGGUCCUCCCGGAUGCUGCCGCUGGUCUCGCCCUGUUCCCGGGCACAGGCCGCCUGCCCUCCGCGAGCCCUGCCUGCAAAGCCCCAUCGCUAAGGCACCAAAUGACCCGGAUUGUAGACUUGCUUAGGUGGACAC
rnacentral:lncRNA from 1 species